CCUUGCAACCGGCACUUGAGUUUUUAUCGGGCAUCGAUUCAAGGGAAGGAAGAGCAAAUCUUCCGCCGCCCCGCGACUGUGAUCGGGACGAAAGCCGCAGAAUCGCCACUGUCAUGCCCAAGGCGUGAUGGGAAGGCGCGGUGAGUAGGAUGAACGUAAGCCAGGAGACCUGAUCGAUGCACAUUGACUUUG
rnacentral:ncRNA from 1 species